ACACGGCGGCCGGCGUGCUCAUUCCGUAGCAGACAGCUGCCCAUAUCGGACGCGCGUGUAUUCGAACGUCGUUGUUGAAAAAGCAGCUCGCCGAGCUACCGUGAAACCGACACGGACGUGUAUGCAGUUUUCCAGUCGACACUAGAGACCAACAACCCGUACCGAGCAACCGCACAACACGCGGAUCAUCAAUUAAUCAGCGGAAACACUGACCACGGGACGCGUGAAACGAAAGAAAAAGCCGAGAACACAGAAAAACACGAUCGAUACGAAUAUACGUUUUAACGAGAGGAUAAUCGGCGACCGUUAAAGGCAUCGCGAAAUAUUAUUUUCGCGGAAGAGACGGAGAAAGAGAGAAAUUUGCGCGCGCUGGUUCCGCUGGAUCCGUUGUGUAGGACCUGCGGCGACAAAAGGACCCAGAGGCCAGUGAAGUCGAACGCGGUGUGCGAAACCCGCUCGGGGAAAACUGUAUUCUCCUGGUUUGAACUUUCCAGAGAAACGGAGGGAGAAAGACGGCGACUAGAGGCGCGGAGCGUGAGAAAGGGAACGGGGCCUGCGAGAGGGACAAAGAGGAAUAGAGUGCGCGCUGACGAGUGCCGGCUGAUCGAGAUGGCGUUUAUGAUGCCCGUAGUGAAAAACGAGUGGGACAUUUACAAGACUAACCGCAACCGACGAUCCUCGGAGUGCUCUAAUCCCCAGGCUUGUCGCAGCAGGAAGGUGUCGGAAUGUUCAAAGUCGGAGGGCCCGUCGCUGUCGACAUCCCCGGGCUCGGACUUCUUGACGUCCCCGGCGCAUCGUUCGGUGCCGCUCACCUCCCGGCACUUCUCGAGGACGUCCUCGAGGGCGUCGCAGUCCUCGUUGCAGAGCCCGAGCAAGAGUACCGGCUCGUCUCCGCCGAAGACCGGCAGCUCGAACUCCCUGAACAAGUUCCACAAUCGGCUGGUGGACAAGCUGAAGAGGUCGUUGAGGAAGGCUGAGGAGUGCGGGGAGGACCAGCGAAACUUGUCGUGAAACAGUCAGGGGGUUUUGGGCCGGCCACCAAUUUCCGGCUCGAAACCGAUCGAGAUCCGACGUACCUCCGCACCCGUUACCACGACUGAGGGGAGGAACGAGGCGGUGGCACGAUCGUGCCCGGAUCCGCCGGCGUCGGCAUGGUAAACAAAACCCUGGCUAACCGGAAGAGGACAAACACGAGGACGAAGAAGAAGAUUAAGAAGAAGCAGAAGAAGCAGAAGAAGCAGAAGAAGAAGUAGAAGCAAAGAAAGCGGGAGAUGAUCGCGAAGAAGAUGAUCGUGAAGAGAGGGUGAUCGUGAAGAAGGUGUUGGAGGAAGAGUCCGCGCGUGUCGUUCGCCGGUGAAGAUCAGGUUGAUUCCAGAGAAUGGUUGACCCGAGGAACCGUGAACAUGGCAAAGACGACGACGACGACGACGAUGACGACGAUGACGAAGAAUAAAACGUAACACUACAGAAGAAUUGUCGAAGUCGAGGAACAGAAGAUCGACGAAGAAGGAUGAUAGAGAUGAUCGCUGUGAAAGAUCGACGAAGACGAAGAACAGAACUCACCGUGGGUUAUUUAGAAGGUGAAGAAACAGCUUCGAGUUCUCCGGUCUCCUCUGUCCGCGCGAGGGAGAGGAGGCCUCGCUCGAGUACGCGAUGUCCAAGGAGGGAGGACCGUGUGGCGAGCGGCAGCUGUGGGCUUCUCGAGCUGUCGAAUAUACGUAACCAGUAGGUUGCCGUGUGCUCUCUUCUCUAGGUUUCUCCUCACACAGUGACGUCGCGAGAUAGAAUGAAAGUAUUGUGUUCCUUUCGCUCGAUCAACCCCCUUUUUUGGCACGUUGCUCACGGAGACGCAGGACGAACGCAAAAAACGACCAGUACAGGCUAGCCGAGGACGGAUAAAUCCAUAAUGGGGAUAAAGCGAAAAUCGGGUUCCCGUGUUUAGUUUCCAAACGAGAGAGUCGAUGCACGCUCGCGGCUCCCCUUCCUAAAAAACAAACCCGCCUGAUCUAUCUAAAUCUCGCGAGACUCUACCCAAGCUGAUUCCUUUGGAUAACUGUGAGAAUCUGUUUAGGACGUUGGGGAAGAGGAAUGAUUAGGAGAGAGCGCGGCGGAGGUGUCGCGAUGCUUCUCUGUGAAGAGGGGAAGAAGGAGGAGGAGGAGGAGGAGGUGGAGGAAGAAGAAGAUGAUGAUGAAGGAGACGUAAUCCUCGAGCCGACUCGCUGCAGCUUCUUUGCGUGCAGUUUGUAGUAGGAUCGGGGAUCACGGUGGGAACGUGAUGAAAUCAACGAAGAAGAAGAAGACGAAGAAAAGCCACGAGAAGAAUCCAGCGAAAGAGAUCGGAUCCACGGUAUCGUUUUGACGCGAACCGGAAGCGUUCACGGAAGACGAGCUAGACGAAGAGCCUGUCGUCGAAGAGAAUAUUUUCUUAAGACGCACCUGGCAACGCACCGAGGUGCAUCGUGGCGCUUUCCCCUCUGUCCCGCGCCCGAGGUAUUCGAUACUGCUACUUCGAUUAAUCGUUACGAAGCAUUUGUUGAUUUCUUGUUUAGUCUGACCGCAUCGAAACUAGCGAACGCGCUUGUUGUUCGUGGUUCGCGUAAUUUGAACGAUCCAGGAAACACGACGGAGGAAGGUGUUCUCGAAAUUCGGACGCAGAACGACGUCACUCGUGAAAAAAGGGAUCGCAACGUUCCGGACCCGCGAAACUGGAAAAUUCGAAACCAAAGAUUGUCUGGUUGCGUUUCUACUUUUUUUUUUUCUUGUUUAUUCGUUACUUUAUUCGGUUCGUUGAUCCUCCAUUUCGGUCGAGCGCCUUUCAAUCGGACAGUAUUAAAGUCGGCAUCUCGCGUUGGACAGCGAUCCCGGAGACAAAACGACAUCAUUUCUGCGUCCACGUUUGCUAAUCUCUUAGUUCCUCUUUUGCUCGCGUGCGCGUUCUUCUUAUCGUUUAUGAAAUUCAUGAAGUGGGAGCAAUUAAGCGAUACCGCGUGUAACUCUGUGAUACCAUAAGCUAUAAGGUAGAAUUAUUUUGCAACGAUCAAAGAAAACAAAACUGCAAAAACAAAAAAAAAAAUGAAGAAAAGAAGAAUAAGACGAAGUACAUAUAUAGUUGUGGGAAUAAGUCAUGAGACCGAGUAGGAACGUUAUUUUGUCGCGACGAAGAUAAUCGCACGGACGCGAAAUCGAUUCUUCGUCGAUCGGCGCGCGGAUCUUUUCUUUUUUUUCAGGGGCGGCGGCGGCGGGAAGUUCUUUCCUCGUUCUGGACCGGGAGGAACGAGCAGAGAACCGAGGCGAUGAUCGAACGAUUUUUUUCUCGGCUUCUGGUCGAGUAUCGAUGCUGGUCCGUCGUUCGGGAAUGGCGUGAGUGAAUCACACAUUGUAUUAUACAAUACCUCUACGGCCGCAUUCGAGAAAAUCGGUGCGAGAUUCAACGACGCGCGAGCUUUCGUAGCCGACCCAACGUUUUGCCCCGUUAGCUAGAGAGAACGAUAGCCCCGUCUCUCGCGAGAAUAACGAAAAUUUCAACGAUUCGAUAGACUCCGAAACAAAUUUUAGCGUAAAAGGGAUAACACGAAACCGGAUCGAUCACCGAUCGAGAAGAGGAAAGAACUCACGAGAGAGAAGAGCGAUGGGCUAUAAUGACGCGAACAAGUUUGCCGUUACACGUAAGACUGCUUUAGAGACACUGAAGAAUACAUUUAAAAGUAAAAAAAUACGAGAAGGAAAACGCAGAAAAAAAAAGAUGUAGUAUUACCGAUUACACUGUGGUGCUGGACGACCGUCGGGGAUCGAAGGGUUCCAAGGGGGCAGGGACGUCGUCGAACGUCCGAAACCCCCUUCGAACCACAUCCCCGCGUUCCGUCGGACGAUUUGUACUGAUGAAAGAGAGAGAUUAAAAAUGGCGUUACGAGAAUUUAGCGAUUGACGAGAUAAUACGAUCUAUUUAUUACGGCGGCUUCGGACCGCGGAGUAAACGUGAAUCGGGCGCCUCCCUGGUUUCCUGGCUUUUUAUAUAUAUACCUAUAGUAUUUUAUUCUUGUUGAUCUUGUAGAGGUGCGCAGCGGGUUUGUUAUUCAUUUUGAACAUCGAGGAUCAUAAAAAGCUUCGAAAUAGACUGUUCUUAUACGAUUGAUUGUCUCUGUUUCUCUCUGGCCCGGGCCACAUUCACUCCACGGUCGCAACGUUCGCACGAUUACAAAGCUAUAUUAUAAAUAUUAUAUGAAAUAUAUUAUAUAUAAAUAUA